AUGUGCAUCCCAAAGAAGAAGGGAGGCUUGGGGUUUAGGGACCUUCACAGUUUUAAUCUUGCUUUACUAGCAAAAUAGUGUUGGCGACUUCUCCAGAAUUCAGACUCUUUGUGUGCAAGGAUUCUUAGUGCAAAGUACUAUCCUGGUGGAAAUAUUCUUGAAGCGGGGCCAAAGAACGGUUCCUCGUUCACGUGGCAAAGCAUUGUUUCGGGUAUUCAAACAUUCAAGAGGGGACACAUAUGGCGUGUUGGAACGGGGCGCAUCAAUAUCUAGAAUGAUCCCUGGAUUCCAACCAGUGGAACCCGGAAGGUUAUUACACCAAGAGGACAAACGAUGAUAGAUAAAGUUGAGGACUUAAUUGAUCCAUAUUCUGGUCAAUGGGAUGAAGAGAUCUUACUAUCGGUUUUAUCACCUGUGGAUGUACACAAAAUUCUGCAAAUACCGCUUCGGAUUGAAAUGUUAGAGGACUUCGUGGCUUGGCACCACACUCGGUCUGGUCUGUUUACCGUAAGAUAUGCAUAUCAUGUUGAAUUUCAUCACCAAUUCGGGAGCAACUGGAACCGUAUUGCGGGAGCAGGCAGCAGUCAACAAUGUGAAUCAUGGAGGAGAGUUUGGGGGCUUAAGCUACCGGGGAAGGUGAAACAUUUUCUGUGGAAGGUGAUGAGGGGAGUACUACCGUGUCUAGGCACGCUAGCAGUGAGACAUAUCCCAACGAUGCCCCAAUGCCCGCACCACAGAAUUGGAUAUGAAGACUCGCAACAUUGCUUAUUUACUUGUAACCGAGCCUUGGAUAUAUUGAAGGAACUGGGGCUGAAAGAGGAGAUACAAAAAUCAGUCCUGGAAGAUCGGUCCGGUGCGAUCACUAUGGACAGCCUUAUGAGACGAGAUGAUCUACUUGGCGAGAUUCCUUUGGCAGAACUAGUGGCAGUUGCGAGCUGGUACAUUUGGUGGCAAAGGCGACAAUUUAUAAAGGGAGAAUCCGUUAGACCGCCAAAUUGUACUGCAAUUUCUAUCAAAGUUUUAGCGACGAACUUUGUAUGA
rnacentral:rRNA from 1 species